AGUUUCGAGGUAGUGACGAGAAAUAACAAUACAGGGCAUUUUAUGCUCUGUAAUUGGAAUGAUGGGAAUGUAAAACCCUUCCAGAGUAACAAUUGGAGGGCAAGUCUGGUGCCAGCAGCCGCGGUAAUUCCAGCUCCAAUAGUGUAUAUUAGAGUUGUUGCAGUUAAAAAGCUCGUAGUUGGAUUUCUGUCGUGGUCAUCCGGCUCCGCCCGUAUGGGUGUGCGCCUGGUUUGCCCUCGGCUUUCUUCCGGUAGCCUUCCGCGCUUCACUGCGUGUGUUGGUGUUCUGGAACUUUUACUUUGAGAAAAAUAGAGUGUUUCAAGCAGGCUUGUCGCCCUGAAUACUUCAGCAUGGAAUAAUAAGAUAGGACCUUGGUUCUAUUUUGUUGGUUUCUAGGACCAAGGUAAUGGUUAAUAGGGA
rnacentral:rRNA from 1 species